rnacentral:misc_RNA from 1 species
UGUUGUCGCUGCGGCAAUCGUUGCUGCGAUCGCGAGUGAAUGUUAUAAACAUUAAGUCACAUUACAGACUACUAGCGUUCGGAACAAGCGCUAGCUAACGGAUAAUAUGGUGCUGCUGCUGCUGUCAAGUGGUGAUAGUUUACAAGCGCGGCAUCGGGGCCGAGGAGAUGCUCAAAUCGCGAGGAACGAGAGCUGAUGAUCUGUCCUCCUUUUCUCGCCUAUUAUAUAUAUCACACUAUACGAUGCACCAGGAGUAAACGAUCAAUUAGCUACUCUGCGGUUGGAGGACCGGUGGGAGCAAUCGUGUAUAUAAUCCACUCGGAUAGAUAAUAAUAAUAAUGCACCCACGUCCGAGCACGUAAAAAAUACAAAACACGGGCCAACGCGGUAGUUUUUUUUUUUUUUUUUUUUUAAUUUAAUUUAAUUUAUUGUUUCUACUGCCGUUGUAAGUAAUUUUCGGAGCACGGCCGCGGAGAGGAGAACUUUGUUCGCUCGGAACGGAGUAGAAAUCAGCUGCCAAGUACGGGAGAGAGCUGCUGCUGCAGGCGAGAGAGAGACGGAGAUGGCCGACGAUUCCAGCGUGCGCGUCGCAGUGCGGAUCCGUCCGCAAGUGGCUCGCGAGGUGAUCGACAUGUGCCGGAUAUGCACCCAAGUGCCGGCCGGCGAGCCGCAAGUCUUCCUCGGGCCGGACAAGGCCUUCACGUACGACUACGUGUUCGACACGAGCUCGGACCAGAGCAGCAUCUACGAGACCUGCGUGGCUCGGCUGGUCGACGGCGCCCUCGACGGCUACAACGCCACCGUACUCGCCUACGGGCAAACCGGCUCCGGGAAGACCUACACCAUGGGCACGGGCUUCGACGUCGAGAUCGACGACAACGUCGUCGGCAUCAUUCCCCGGGCCAUCAAGCACCUCUUCGACGGCAUCGCCGACAAACAGGCUCGUGCACGCGAGCGCGCACAGAUGCCACCCGAGUUUAAGGUGACGGCGCAGUUCCUCGAGCUGUACAACGAGGACUUGAAGGAUCUCCUGGAGCCGGGCGGUCCUAGGGGUGGUGCUCGAAUCCACGAGGACACGGCCGGUAAUAUCCACCUGGCCGGGGUCGAGUCGCAGCUGGUGACCGGUCCGCAGGAGGCACUGGAGUACCUGCGUCUGGGUGCCCUGUCCCGUACGACGGGCUCGACGCAAAUGAACACCCAGUCGUCGCGCUCCCACGCCAUAUUCACCCUGUACGUGAAGCAACAGCGAUGCGUCAGGGUCGAGGAUCCGGACGCGGACGUCGACACCUCGAAUUCCAUGGAGACCGCCAACGAGUUCGAGACCCUCACCGCCAAGUUUCACUUUGUCGAUCUGGCCGGCUCCGAGAGGCUCAAGAGGACCGGGGCUACCGGCGAUCGCGCCAAGGAGGGCAUAUCCAUCAACUGCGGACUGCUGGCACUGGGCAACGUGAUAUCAGCCCUGGGUGACAAGACGAAAAAGGCGUUGCACGUGCCGUACCGCGAUUCGAAGCUCACGAGGCUACUACAGGACUCGUUGGGCGGCAACAGCCAGACCGUCAUGAUUGCCUGCGUUUCGCCGAGCGAUCGCGAUUUCAUGGAGACCCUCAGUACCCUCAAGUACGCCAAUCGAGCCCGCAACAUUAAGAACAAGGUCACCAUCAACCAGGACAAGAGCUCGAGGACCAUCGCUUCGCUGAGACGCGAGAUACAACAGCUGCAGAUCGAGUUGCUCGAGUACCGCCAAGGCAAGCGCGUGGUCGGCGAGGAUGGCAUGAAUGACGCGUGGCACGAGAACCAGAUGCUGAGCCACGAGUUGCAGAGCCUGCGAACCCGAGUGAAGGCGCUCUCGGAGACGGUGGACGCCUUGACGGCGAAAAAUUCACUGCUGCUCGCGGAAAAGGCGGCGGGCCAGUGGCUCUCGUCUGGCGCGGCGGCUGCCGGUGGCGACGUUACCGGCCUCGUUCAAGGAUACCUCCAGGAGAUCGAGGAGCUCAGAGCGAGGCUGCUCGAGGCUGAGGCGCUCUACCAACAGCUCAAAAAGCGACAGAUGCACCAAUCGUUUGGACUAGAUAGUCAACCCGAAAAUUUACAGAUGAACGCAGCAAGCAACCCAUACGCCACAGAUGUGUCGCAUAAUAACGACUCUUCCUCGCUACUAUUGGAUGCCAAGAAGGAGUUGCAAAAGGAAAAAGCUCUUCUGGCCAGCCUUAAAAAUCAGCAAGCGCAAAAUUCCAACAUGACCGGCAAAGACACCGAGGAUGCGGAUAUGGAGGAUGCCGAGAACGGCCAGGAGUCGAUGAGCGAGGACGAGUCCGACGAUGACUCGGAUCGCAAAGAAGAGGACGAAGAGGAGGAGGCAAUGAAUCGCGAGCUAGAGAAUCUCACGUCCAACAUCGACGUGAAACAGAGGCUCAUUCAGGAACUCGAGCUAUCGCAGAGGCGACUUCAGACCAUGAAGCAGCACUACGAGGACAAACUGGCCCAGCUGCAGCUCCGCAUUCGGGACACGCAGGAGGAGAGGGACAAGGUGCUGUCCUCGCUACAGAAUCAGCCGUCCGCUCCCACGGAGAAGGCCAAGAAGCUACGCGACGAGUACGAGAAGAAGCUCUCGGCCAUGCAGAAGGAGGUCAAAAUGCUGCAAUCAGCGAAGAAGGAGCACGCGAGGCUGCUCAAGAGCCAGACCCAGAACGAGAACAGACUACGGGGUCUACGAAACGAGCUGGCCGAGAUGAAGCGGGCCAAGGUCAAGUUGCUGAACAAAAUGCGCGAGGAGGCCCAACGCCACAAGGAGAACGAGCUCAAACGCAACCGAGAGAUUGCCCAGUUGCGCAAGGAGAGCCGUAAGAACGCAAAUAUGAUUCGGACCCUCGAGGCGGACAAGCGAAUGAAGGAGGUGGUGCUGCGACGGAAGCAGGAGGAAGUCACUGCGCUCAGAAAACGAGACCGCGGGCUUAGUUUGAAGGUUGCGGGCAGGACUGCAGUCUCAAAAGUCGUCAAUCCGAAGGCUCUAAAGCAGCGCUGGCAGACUUUCGAGCGGACAAUCACGAAGCAGGCACUGGCCAAGCAGGCAGCCACCGAGACCGAGCGUGAAAUGGAACGACUGCUCCAGGAGAGGGAAGAGCUGGGAAGAGACCUGGAGAGGCUAAAGAAGCACAGGGCAGCCGUCGGCUCGGCGAAGGGUGACACAAGCGAUCUCGACGAAGAGAUCGAUAAUGUCACCAGCAAAAUUAGCUACCUGCAGGACAGUAUCUCCGAGUGCCAAAGAGCGAUGGUGGAGAUGGGAGACGCCGAGGCCGAGAACGAGAGCGAGACGGGUGCUGAGGCCCUUUUGGGUACGAUUAGAUCGGUAGAAGAGGCUCAGUACAUGAUGCAACGAAUGCUAGACUUUACGAUCGAGCAGAGUUACAUAGCGGCCCAGAAACAACUCGAGGCUCGCGAUAUGGAGAGCCGACUGAAACAAGUCGCCCAAGAAAGCGACGUGCAGCACCAGCUACUUGAACACGUGUUGCGCGACAGGGAUCUAUUGUCCCUCACCAAUAGCAAUAAUACCAAUAAUUCGAUAGCGGCCUACAGUCCACCGAGUUCGCGUAGUUCAUCUCCUGACAAUAGCGAAAGUCUCACGCAAAGCCUAACGACGAGCCUAACGCAGAGCUUGGGUGGAGAUGAUAAGCCACGAAGUAUUAAGGUUCGACGGCGGACCACGCAGCCCCAGGAGCUGCUCUACGGCAUAUCAACAAACUCCGAGAAUCAAAAGAACGAGGAUCAAAAUCAAAACCAGCACCAAAAUCACAACCAUUCACUGACGAGGGUUCCCAGCGCACCAGGCAGCCUAAAGGAGCAGGUAGCCUUGAUGGACACCUCGUCGCCGCCGGGCUCGCCCACGACGUAUCGCCGCUUCAACAGUCGCGAGGAGAACGUCUUUUCAAGGCUGACCGCCACCAGACAGACCAUGCACGUCGAGCAUUUACCAACCAAGGGCGUCAUUUCCAAUUACCAGGGAAAGAGCGUUCCCAGGGCUAUAUUGCAGUGCACGCACGUAGCCGAAGGCCACAGCAAAGCCGUCCUGUCGAUUUGCGCAACCAACGAUUUACUCUUCAGCGGCUCGAAAGAUCGAACGGUUAAAGUGUGGGACCUGGGAACUGGCAUCGAGAGCACAUCGCUGAGUGGUCACCCAAAUAACGUCGUCGUCGUCAAGUACUCGACAGCUCAUCGGCUACUGUUCAGCGUCUCAGCGGCUUAUGUAAAAGUUUGGGACCUGCGUAGUGGCAAUAGCUGUAUUAAAACUCUGUUUUCGUCGGGCCAAGCCCAGAGCGGGCCCUUGAACCUCGCGACACCCUCGCGCACACUCCAGAUGCCCGUGGGCGAGACGACGAUCAAUGACCUCGCCCUAGGUCUCGACGACCACGAGCUCUACACGGCGUCGAGUGACAAGGUACGGAUCUGGGACCUCAGGAAACUGGCCUACAUUGGCAAACUCAGCACGCCUCACGCUGCCGCUGUCAUGUGCCUGAGCGUUUCGGAUGACGGGAGAGUCAUCACUGGGUCGAAAGAUCACCUGGUGAGCUUGGUAGAGCCAAACAUAUCUGGCCAGUCGCUGAGCUUAUCGCCGCCGCAUUACGAUGGGGUACAGUGCCUGGCGACCCGCGGAAGCACGCUGUUUUCCGGCUCGAGGGACAUGUGCAUCAAGAGGUGGGACUUGAGUCGAAUGGAGCUGGUUCAGUCGCUCAAUAAUGCACACAAAGACUGGAUCCUGGGAUUGUGCCUUAUCAACGGUGGAUCAGUCAUGGUAUCGGGUUGCCGAGGUGGUUUCUUGAGGGCAUGGUCCGUGCCCACUUUUGGUGACAAUGCGAGUGAGUUCCUUGGUGAGGUACGCGCUCACACCUCUGCUAUAAAUGCCACCGUCGCCAACGAUCAGCACAUCUUCACAGCCAGCAACUCUGGUGAAGUAAAGCUGUGGCGAAGUAAAGCUGAUUCUUCUUUGACCACGUCCACAGUUUCCUUAUAACUUGAUCCGCUUAUCCUUUGGUUGGUUUCUAUUUGGUUAUUUCUGUUGAGUGUCUAUCUUUUCUAUCAAGUAGUUUAAUUAAGGUUCUGUUUCUUAUAUAAAUAUUUACUUCCACUGACACUACUAGUAUAUACUACCGUUCUAACAAGCACAGGUAUAUUAUUAUGCACAUGCUUGUUAACUCUUAGAACAACUCGUCACUCGUCUCAGUGCCAAGACAUGUUUGCUACCUGUCCUAAACUAAAAUAAAAAAUUCUCUUUGAAAA